rnacentral:lncRNA from 1 species
ACUAUUACAAAUCCCCGCCUCCACCACCAUACUAUUACAAGUCCCCACCUCCACCUCCGCCUAAGUAUUACUACAAGUCGCCCCCACCACCGUCUCCAUACUAUUACAAAUCCCCGCCCCCUCCACCGUACUAUUACAAAUCCCCACCACCACCUCCCUACAAAUACGAAUCGCCGCCGCCUCCUCCUUACAAAUACGAGUCCCCACCUCCACCACCUUACUAUUACAAGUCCCCACCACCACCUCCAUACAAAUAUGAAUCCCCGCCACCUCCAGUCUACAAAUAUGAGUCUCCGCCACCCCCAGUUUACAAAUACAAGUCGCCACCACCACCAUACAAGUACGAGUCACCACCACCACCUCCAUACAAGUAUGAAUCCCCGCCACCUCCACCUUAUUACUACAAGUCCCCUCCACCACCACCAUACAAGUACGAGUCGCCACCACCUCCUCCGUACAAGUAUGAAUCUCCACCACCACCAGUUUACAAAUACAAGUCACCUCCGCCGCCACCUUAUUACUACAAAUCCCCACCGCCACCUCCAUACAAGUACGAGUCUCCACCUCCUCCUCCGUACAAGUAUGAAUCUCCACCACCACCACCUUAUUACUACAAAUCCCCCCCGCCACCUCCAUACAAGUACGAGUCACCGCCUCCUCCUCCGUACAAGUAUGAAUCUCCACCACCGCCAGUUUACAAAUACAAGUCACCCCCGCCACCACCUUAUUACUACAAAUCCCCGCCACCACCUCCAUACAAGUACGAGUCUCCACCUCCUCCUCCGUACAAGUAUGAAUCUCCACCACCACCUCCUUAUUACUACAAAUCCCCGCCGCCACCUCCCUACAAGUAUGAAUCCCCGCCACCACCUCCCUACAAAUACGAGUCACCUCCACCACCACCUUACUAUUACAAAUCUCCUCCACCGCCUCCAUACAAGUAUGAGUCGCCACCACCACCAGUCUACAAAUACGAGUCUCCGCCACCCCCAGUUUACAAAUACAAGUCGCCCCCUCCACCUUAUUACUACAAGUCUCCGCCACCCCCGCCAUACAAAUAUGAAUCCCCACCUCCACCUCCCUACAAGUAUGAAUCGCCUCCUCCUCCACCUUACUACUACAAGUCCCCUCCACCACCUCCCUACAAAUAUGAAUCCCCGCCACCACCUCCCUAUAAAUACGAGUCACCACCACCACCACCUUACUAUUACAAAUCUCCUCCACCGCCUCCAUACAAGUAUGAGUCGCCACCACCACCUCCCUACAAAUACGAGUCACCACCACCACCACCUUACAAGUAUGAAUCCCCACCUCCACCUCCGUACAAGUAUGAAUCACCUCCACCGCCUCCAUACAAGUAUGAAUCCCCUCCUCCACCUCCCUACAAAUACGAGUCACCACCCCCACCACCUUAUUACUACAAAUCGCCUCCGCCACCGGAGUAUCAAUCACCUCCUUACGUGUAUAAAUCUCCAC